GACGUAGGGCGCGAGCGUUGUCCGGAAUUAUUGGGCGUAAAGAGCUCGUAGGCGGCUUGCUACGUCAGCUGUGAAAACCCGCAGCUCAACUUGGGGCUUGCAGCUGAUACGGGCAGGCUUGAGUUCGGUAGGGGAGAGUGGAGUUCCUGGUGUAGCGGUGAAAUGCGCAGAUAUCAGGAGGAACACCGGUGGCGAAGGCGGCAUCCUGGACCAAUUCUGACGCUGAGGAGCGAAAGCCAGGGGAGCAAACGGG
rnacentral:rRNA from 1 species